CAACAAACGCUGAGCGAAAACACGGUAUCCCUUCCUCCCCGCUCCUUCUUUCCAACUUCCCAGGCAAAGAGCUCAGAUAGUCCCUUCUUUCUUUCUUUUUUUUUUUUAAUAUUCCCGUUUGCAGCCUCUCAGCACACUUUUUUGCAGAAGAUACGAGAGUUCGCGGGGGGUCCCAGCCUACCUCACUACUCCACCCAUCGGGCCAGGAUGGUACUCCACACACCCAGCGCUGAUCGCCACCAGCACCGGCAUUUCGCUCGCAUUUGGACUCCAAGUCUACAGCCACCGCGUGUGACUAUGAUGUACUUCUCGAACCGGGAGCUAGAUCGUAACACGAAAGAGCAGAACGAGCUCAGACAGCAGCGCGGCGCAGGUUCGAGGUGAGGCUGAAUACCCAACACUCCUGCGCAGAGCGGUCUACGUGAUCCGGCACCAUGAGAAACCUCUGGCCUGAGUCUGGAGGUGACAGUCAGCACAGAUUUGGCCCAGAAAAAAGAGCUGCUGCAGAAUUUCCUGUCAGAGAGGAAGAAGGAAGUGGCUGGAGGAGAGAGAUUUUGGAGUCUGGUCCCUUCAAACAAUGAAAAUCUUACUUGCAAAGGAAGCGGACCUACGUCAAAGGAGACCCAAUAGAAUUCUGAAAGGCCAGCAGCAAUGACCCAGCCGAGACAUAAGCACAUAACUGUUUGACUGAAACCUCUAGAACAGCUCUUUCCACUGCCAGAAAGCAUGAAGAUCGGUUCUCUCAUUCAGAGACAAUAGCUGUUCCAAAAAAAGGAUUUAUUGCAAGGGUUUCCAGUAUUGAUAAAUAUUAUUGUCAUUCAUAACAAAGCCAGGUUCUGGGGACAUCCCAUAGGGAACAUCUGUGCUCUGUUUGGACACACAUGAUUGUGUUUAUUUUGAUUUCUCCAAAUGUGUGUUCACAAAUAAGAUAUUUCAGAAAAGAGCUUGUUACAGUGUAUCACGAUGAUGA